GUUGAAAUACCGGUUUCCAUACGAUCCCCGAAGUUAAGAAACGUCGAGCCUGGUCAGUACCUAGAUCGGUGACCGCUUGGGAAUACCGG